rnacentral:SRP_RNA from 1 species
UUUAGGGGAAAUUUUCCCCGCUAAAUUUAGCGGGUAAAAUUUCCCGCUUGACUUAGCGGGGAAAUUUUCACCGCUAAAUCUAGCGUGAAAUUUUCCCGGCUAAAUCUAGCGGAAAAUUUUCACCGCUGAAUCUAGCGGGGAAAAUUUUCCGCUAGAUUUAGCGGGGAAAAGUCUCCGCUAAAUUUAGCGGGGAAAAUUUCCCGCUAGAUUUAGCGGGAAAAAUUUCCCGCUAUAUUUAGCGGGGAAAAUUUUCCGCUAGAUUUAGUGGGGAAAAUUUCC